ensembl:lncRNA
ACUGGUCAUAGCAAACACCCUCUUCCAACAACACAAGAGAAGACUGUACACAUGGACAUCACCAGAUGGUCAACACUGAAAUCAGAUUGAUUAUAUUCUAUGCAGCCAAAGAUGGAGAAGCUCUAUACAGUCAGCAAAAACAAGAUCAGGAGCUGACUGUGGCUUAGAUCAUGAAUUCCAUAUUACCAAAUUCAGACUGAAAUUGAAGAAAGUAGGGAAAACCACUAGACCAUUCAGGUAUGACCUAAAUCAAAUCCCUUAUGAUUAUACAGUGGAAGUGAGAAAUAAAUUUAAGGGACUAGAUCUGAUAGAUAGAGUGCCUGAUGAACUAUGGACAGAGGUUCGUGACAUUGUACAGGAGACAGGGAUCAAGACCAUCCCCAUGGAAAAGAAAUGCAAAAAAGCAAAAUGGCUGUCUGGGGAGGCCUUACAUAUAGCUGUGAAAAGAAGAGAAGCGAAAAGCAAAGGAGAAAAGGAAAGAUAUAAGCAUCUGAAGGCAGAGUUCCAAAGAAUAGCAAGAAGAGAUAAGAAAGCCUUCCUCAGCGAUCAGUGCAAAGAAAUAGAGGAAAACAACAGAAUGGGAAAGACUAGAGAUCUCUUCAAGAAAAUCAGAGAUACCAAGGGAACAUUUCAUGCAAAGAUGGGCUCAAUAAAGGACAGAAAUGGUAUGGACCUAACAGAAGCAGAAGAUAUUAAGAAGAGCUGGCAAGAAUACACAGAAGAACUGUACAAAAAAGAUCUUCAUGACCCAGAUAAUCACGAUGGUGUGAUCACUGACCUAGAGCCAGACAUCCUGGAAUGUGAAGUCAAAUGGGCCUUAGAAAGCAUCACUACGAAAAAAGCUAGUGGAGGUGAUGGAAUUCCAGUGGAGCUAUUUCAAAUCCUAAAAGAUGAUGCUGUGAAAGUGCUGCAUUCAAUAUGCCAGCAAAUUUGGAAAACUCAGCAGUGGCCACAGGACUGGAAAAGGUCAGUUUUCAUUCCAAUCCCAAAGAAAGGCAAUGCCAAAGAAUGCUCAAACUACCGCACAAUUGCACUCAUCUCACACGCUAGUAAAGUAAUGCUCAAAAUUCUCCCAGCCAGGCUUCAGCAGUAUGUGAACUGUGAACUUCCUGAUGUUCAAGCUGGUUUUACAAAAGGCAGAGGAACCAG